AUGUACCAAACUAAAGAAAACCUAAGACAAAGUAAACCCUAAUUUUAUUAUCUUUCUCCUCAUCUCAAACUUACAUCAACUCAAUCCUGUCAAUGCCUCCACCAUUGAUCCUCUUUUUCACGCCGUUGUUCAGGCUUUUGUUAUUGCCAUUCACUCUUUUGUUGCCGUCAUUCACUCUAUUGUUGCAGUUGUUCACUCUCUUGAUGCUGCCAUUCACCUUGCCGCUGCUGCAGUCAACACCACCACUGCUACUAUUCAAGGCGCGCCGCUGCUAUCCACGCUAUUGCUACUAGCGUCGGCCUUACUGCUAUCGUAGUCAGCCGCUACUUCGUCUUAGGUUUGUUUAUGUGUCAGCUCCUCAUACGAAAGAAGAGCUUGCAAAGCAUUUGAUGGAUAGUUUAUUAAGGUGGAAUAUUGACACUAAGAUUUCCACUAUUACUAUAGAUAAUUGUGCUUCAAAUGAUGGUAUAGUUUCUAUACUCACAUAAAAUUGUAUGAUGAUCUUUUGUGUGAUGGUAAGAUUUUGCAUAUGAGAUGUUGUGCACAAAUUUUAAAUCUUGUGGUCAAAGAAGGAUUCUCUAUUAUUGAUGAUGCA